UUGGAGGGCAAGUCUGGUGCCAGCAGCCGCGGUAAUUCCAGCUCCAAUAGCGUAUAUUAAAGUUGUUGCAGUUAAAAAGCUCGUAGUUGAAUUUCGGGAUUAAUAUGCUGGUCGUGCCAUUGGUACGUACUAGUAUUAUUGAUUUCUCCCUUCUGAUGAAUCAUGAUGUCAUUAAUUUGAUGUCAUGGGGAAUCAGGACUGUUACUUUGAAAAAAUUAGAGUGUUUAAAGCAGGCUCGCGCUUGAAUACAUUAGCAUGGAAUAAUGAAAUAGGACGUUUGAUUCUAUUUUGUUGGUUUCUAGGAUUGACGUAAUGAUUAAUAGGGAUAGUUGGGGGCAUUAGUAUUCAAUUGUCAGAGGUGAAAUUCUUGGAUUUAUUGAAGACUAACUACUGCGAGAGCAUUUGCCAAGGAUGUUUUCAUUAAUCAAGAACGAAAGUUAGGGGAUCGAAGACGAUCAGACACCGUCGUAGUCUUAACCAUAAACUAUGCCGACUAGGGAUCGGAUGAUGUUAAUUAUGACUCAUUCGGCGCCUUACGGGAAAC
rnacentral:rRNA from 1 species